rnacentral:rRNA from 1 species
UACGUAGGGGGCUAGCGUUGUCCGGAAUCACUGGGCGUAAAGCGCACGUAGGCGGAUAUGUCAGUCAGGGGUGAAAUCCCGAGGCUCAACCUCGGGUCUGCAGUCGAUACGGGCGGACUGGAGUUCGGCAGGGGAGACUGGAAUUCCUGGUGUAGCGGUGAAAUGCGCAGAUAUCAGGAGGAACACCGGUGGCGAAGGCGGGUCUCUGGGCCGAUACUGACGCUGAGGAGCGAAAGCGUGGGGAGCGAACAGG